rnacentral:rRNA from 1 species
AUGUUUGGAGAUGUAAACAGCCAGCUAAAGAGUGUCACUCAGAAUGUCGGCCAAAUGGAAGCAACAAUGGAAUGCGAAGCUAUUGCCCAAGAGAAAGCUAUGGAGGAAGAUCCUAGACAGAAGUUUAAAGAGAAAGCUAUCAAUGAAUUAUCAAGGCUUGGAUUCACUUGGACUGAAAUCGUGAAUGCUGCUAGCAUAUUUGCCAAAGCUCCAGAAGAAAUGCAUAUGAUGCUUGCACUCCCGCAGAAUCUGAGGAGGGAGUAUGUUAAGAAAACGCUUGGUAAGUUAAAUUCAUGCACUAUUAUCUUGUUCUGA